UACGGGGGGGGCAAGCGUUGUUCGGAAUUACUGGGCGUAAAGGGCUUGUAGGCGGCCAACUAAGUCCGACGUGAAAUCCCCAGGCUUAACCUGGGAACUGCGUCGGAUACUGGAUGGCUUGAAUUCGGGAGAGGGAUGCAGAAUUCCAGGUGUAGCGGUGAAAUGCGUAGAUAUCUGGAGGAACACCGGUGGCGAAGGCGGCAUCCUGGACCGGCAUUGACGCUGAGGCGCGAAAGCCAGGGGAGCAAACGGG
rnacentral:rRNA from 1 species